UACGUAGGGUGCAAGCGUUAAUCGGAAUUACUGGGCGUAAAGCGUGCGCAGGCGGUUUUGUAAGACUGUCGUGAAAUCCCCGGGCUCAACCUGGGAAUGGCGAUGGUGACUGCAAGGCUAGAGUUUGGCAGAGGGGGGUAGAAUUCCACGUGUAGCAGUGAAAUGCGUAGAUAUGUGGAGGAACACCGAUGGCGAAGGCAGCCCCCUGGGUCAAGAUUGACGCUCAUGCACGAAAGCGUGGGGAGCAAACAGG
rnacentral:rRNA from 1 species